rnacentral:lncRNA from 1 species
UGAUGAUCCCUGCCACCAUAGAGCUUGCUUCAAGUUGGACUGUUUCUGCCAUGCGUGUUACUCAUUGCCAUGGUGCUUAUGACAGUGAAGGAAAGAGUCUCACUUUGUCGCCCAGGCUGGAGUACAGUGGUGCGAUCUUGGCUCUCUGCAACCUCUGCCUCCCAGGUUCAAGUAAUUCUCCUGCCUCAGCCUCCCGAGUAGCUGGUACUACAGGCACACAUUUGUAGAGAUGGUGUUUCCCCAUGUCAUCCAGGCUGGUCUGGAACUCCUGGGAUCAAGUAAUCCACCCGCCUCGGCCUCCCAAAGUGCUGGGAUUACAGACGUGAGCCACCACGCCCUGCCAAUAAAAAGAUUAUCUCCAGAUGCUGGAAUGACCAGUAAUUUAUUUUCUUCCUUUUUUUUUGUCUGCACUUUCUACCAUAAUCAUAUGUUAGCUUCUUACUAAGAAGAAAAGUCAAUGUUAUUUCCCUGAAAAAGUAAUGUUGUUUGGUUAUUAAACAAAUUUAAUUUUCUAAACAAGAGUACGACAGGUAAACUGCCUACCUUAAAAGCAAACGAACACAAAUAAAUAA